rnacentral:rRNA from 1 species
GAGACGGGAUACCGUCCCAAGUUUGUGAUCCCUCGCGAUACCAAAGCCCGUGGGAUCGCACCAGUUAACAAAGGAUGGCGGCCCCCCAGGGUGAUUAUGUGUUUAUUCGACCAACGCAGAACCCUCCCAGGCUGACAUCGAAUGAAAGAAGCAGAGAUUUCCCUCUUUCGGAGACAGGAGACAGGUGCAUGGCUGUCGUCAGCUCGUGUCGUGAGAUGUGGGUAAGUCCCGCAACGAGCGCAACCCCUAUCCCAUGUACCAUCAUUGAGUUGGGGACUCAUGGGAGACUGCCAGGGACAACUGGAGGAAGGCGGGGAUGACGUCAAGUCAUCAUGCCCCUUAUGUCCUGGGCUACACACGUACUACAAUGGCCGGCAACAGAGGGAAGCGAAGCCGCGAGGCGGAGCGAACCCCAGAAACCCGGUCCCAGUUCGGAUCGCAGGCUGCAACCCGCCUGAAAGAAGUCGGAAUCGCUAGUAAUCGCAGGUCAGCAUACUGCGGUGAAUACGUUCCCGGGCCUUGUACACGCCGCCCGUCACACCACGAAAGUUGGUAACACCCGAAGCCGGUGGGGUAACCGCAAGGAGAUAGCCGUCUAAGGUGGGGGCGAUGACUGGGGUGAAGUCGUAACAAGGUAGCCGUAUCGGAAGGUGC